CCUACGGGUGGCAGCAGUGGGGAAUAUUGCACAAUGGGGGGAACCCUGAUGCAGCAACGCCGCGUGAGUGAAGAAGUAUCUCGGUAUGUAAAGCUCUAUCAGCAGGGAAGAAAAUGACGGUACCUGACUAAGAAGCACCGGCUAAAUACGUGCCAGCAGCCGCGGUAAUACGUAUGGUGCAAGCGUUAUCCGGAUUUACUGGGUGUAAAGGGAGCGCAGGCGGCGCGGCAAGUCAGAUGUGAAAGCCCGGGGCUCAACCCCGGGACUGCAUUUGAAACUGCCGGGCUAGAGUGUCGGAGAGGCAAGUGGAAUUCCUAGUGUAGCGGUGAAAUGCGUAGAUAUUACGCAGAACUCCGAUUGCGAAGGCAGCAUACCGGCGCUCAACUGACGCUCAUGCACGAAAGUGUGGGUAUCGAACAGGAUUAGAUACCCGAGUAGUC
rnacentral:rRNA from 1 species